ensembl:lncRNA
GUUCCCCUUUACCGAUCGGGGUUCUGACGGAGAGGGAGAGGCUUGCUCCGACAUCUGGAACCAAGAGUCACAAUCCUAACACCUGUCAGUAGCCGGAGGACGUCUGAUUACCUUUUAGGAAAACAGCUUGAACCAAACUGAGCUGGACGCAGCUAACAUCCACUACCGCAUCUGCCGAUGUUUGCGGGCGUCUGAUUGAUCGACGCCAUGCCAGGAGGCCGGUAUCAUCUUCCUUCUCUCCGAGCGGCCCUGAGGGAGAGGACGCCUGUCUGAGAGGAUGGGGAGGUGUCUGCGGCUCGGGGGCUUCACCACACGUCACUGUGCUGUGGUGCUGCAAAUCCAGCGGGGGCUAUGAGGACUUACCAUGGUGGACAGGGAGGAGACAGGAGAUGUCGAACAGGAAUUGGCGAAGAAAAGUUAAGAAAGUGAAGUAAAGUAAAGAAAAGUGAAUGGAAAAGUAAUAAAAGAUGGUAGAGACUCUGCCAUUGGCCAGUGUAGAGGAAGAGGAAGUUGAGGGGACGUAAUAGAGCACCCAUAGAGACAGGGAAACAGAACUCUAGGUCAAGUGAUUCCACCUUAAGGCCCAUACCAAGUUAAGUAUAUAUAAUGCCCAAGACAGAAUGAAUGUAGAUUUAAUAAGCCAGUUAGGCUGCCUUAGGAUAUAUUGUAGGACAGGGGUCUUCAACGUUUUC